AAUCUCUCUCUCCCUGGUUUGAAGAGAGAGAACACAGACACACUUCACUUAAGCAAAGCUAGAGGAGAAAGUUUAUUUCUUUUUGAGUUUUCUGGCUAAAAGGGCACUGGUGAAAAACGUUUUGAAUUUCUUUCUGUUUUGUUGUUCUCAUUUUCCCUUUUUUUUUUUUUUCUCUCUGUUAAGUUUUCCUAUUUUUUGGAGCAUGUUAAUGAGAGAGGAGGGAGGGAUCAGGGCCUUGUUGCUUUUGGGAUGUGAUUUUAAGGAGAUGAUUUAGGAGAUAAUGGUGGGGUUAUUCUGGAGAUUUUAGAAAGGGUUUCGUUGGUUUUUCUUCUUUCUUCUUCUUCUUCUUCUUCUCUCUGUUUCUUUUGUUGGGUGAUGGUGAGCUGGGUUUUGGUGUAUUGAUGUUUGGAUCUGAGGAGAUUGAGAAGUUAAAGUUUCGAGGGGAGUGUGCGUGUUUGUUUAGUGGUGAUGGAGAGGAAGGUUGGGGUGUGGCUGAUCUUUCUGCUGCAUCCAUUAUGGCUGGCUUUGGGUAAUACCGAAGAUUUCGUAGAAAUAUGAAUAUCUUAAAGGCAAUUGUCAAUACCGUAUUAGGAUUUUUGGGGUGCAUUACACAAUUGCUCACUUACUUUGCUCCCAUGUAUGUUAUUUUUAUUUUAUAUUUUUACAAUCACACACAUGUUGACUGUUAGUAAUUUCUUGUUUACAUUUUUCUAUUUGCUAAAAGUUUGAAUUUUCUCAAAUCAUUGAUAGAUACUCAAUUAAUGCAAUUAGACGAAAUAGAACAAUCGGACAUAUUCUUGGAGUUCAGUACAUGGCAUCUGGAUUACAGUAUUUGGGCACUUUACUCAACUGUAUCCUUAAUGCUUGGUAUGUCUUUCUUAAUUAUUAUAUUACUUUAGUUUUUAAAAAUUUUAAAAAUAAAAUUAUUUUAUAGGGAAAAAAUUAUUUAUUUAUUUUUCAGUUCUUUAGGGAUAAAUAAAAGGAAAAGAUAUAGUUAGUUA